AUGCACGCUGGCGGCGUGCCUCAUCCAUGCAAGUCGAGCGAACAGACGAGGAGCUUGCUCCUCUGACGUUAGCGGCGGACGGGUGAGUAACACGUGGAUAACCUACCUAUAAGACUGGGAUAACUUCGGGAAACCGGAGCUAAUACCGGAUAAUAUAUUGAACCGCAUGGUUCAAUAGUGAAAGACGGUUUUGCUGUCACUUAUAGAUGGAUCCGCGCCGCAUUAGCUAGUUGGUAAGGUAACGGCUUACCAAGGCAACGAUGCGUAGCCGACCUGAGAGGGUGAUCGGCCACACUGGAACUGAGACACGGUCCAGACUCCUACGGGAGGCAGCAGUAGGGAAUCUUCCGCAAUGGGCGAAAGCCUGACGGAGCAACGCCGCGUGAGUGAUGAAGGUCUUCGGAUCGUAAAACUCUGUUAUUAGUGAAGAACAAAUGUGUAAGUAACUAUGCACGUCUUGACGGUACCUAAUCAGAAAGCCACGGCUAACUACGUG
rnacentral:rRNA from 1 species